CUAGCUUACGUGGAGGCGCUGGUGGGAUACUACCCUAGCUGUGUUGGCUUUCUAACCCGCACCACUUAUCGUGGUGGGAGACAGUGUCAGGCGGGCAGUUUGACUGGGGCGGUCGCCUCCUAAAAGGUAACGGAGGCGCUCAAAGGUUCCCUCAGAAUGGUUGGAAAUCAUUCAUAGAGUGUAAAGGCAUAAGGGAGCUUGACUGCGAGACCUACAAGUCGAGCAGGGUCGAAAGACGGACUUAGUGAUCCGGUGGUUCCGCAUGGAAGGGCCAUCGCUCAACGGAUAAAAGCUACCCCGGGGAUAACAGGCUUAUCUCCCCCAAGAGUUCACAUCGACGGGGAGGUUUGGCACCU
rnacentral:rRNA from 2 species